UCCUCAAUAGCUCGGUGAUAGAGCGGUCGAGUCGUUAACCGGCCGGUCAUAGGUUCGAAUCCUACUGGGGAG